rnacentral:lncRNA from 1 species
UGUAAAAUUCCUGGUCCGUGAGACAGAGGCACCGCGCUGUACCAGGCGAAGGGCCUCGCCGGCAUUCCCGAGUGUGGAGAUAGCCCCUGCCUCGCACGGCCCAAUGGAAGCCUUGGACCCUUCCCGAUCUCCUCCCCAGCUUGGCGGGGCCCUGCUGCCUGCCCCGGAGACAGCUGCCUGCAUGAUGCUCAGAGGAGUCACACCAGGAGCCUCCCUGCUUCUCAGCUCACUACCAGAUCUCACGUCUGACUCUCCCGACGGAUCCGGGGCCUGGGACUCCUCAAGCUACUGCACGUGAGCCUGAGACCCAGAGAGGGUGAGUGACUUGCCCAGGGCCACCAGAUAAUC